UUUUUAUCGUAUCUUGAGAACAUACUGCAAGUCACUUCUGGUGUGAGAGAACUGGCCGUCUACAGAGACAUUGCCCGGAAUGUGUUACCAUCCUGCUGACAGAAGGGAGUUCACCCCGUCUCGCAGAUUCGAACCUGCAACCUUCAGACAUUACACCAAAUUAAAUGUCAUCUUGAAUAUGAACAAAUCCUAGCUCUUCCUCGGCAAAAGCUUGAAAAGUGAGUUUUGAGAAACAGGAAGUUAAUCUGAAAAUGAUA
rnacentral:lncRNA from 11 species